GGAGCUUACCGAACCUACCGCAAGAUGGCAUCAAAUUUCUUUUGGAAAGGGAUGAUGAGAACAAUUCAAAAGUAUGUUGCAGCAUAUUUGGUUUGUGAAAAGAACAAAUACGAGGCACAAAUUCCAACGUGGUUACUCCAACCUCUUCCAAUACCAAAACAAAUUUGGGAAGAUGUAGCAUUGGAUUUUAUAACAGGUUUGCCUCGGUCACAUGGAGUGGAUUGCAUAUCAGUGGUUGUGGAU
rnacentral:misc_RNA from 1 species